UCAUGUACCCAUUAAUCAAAAUUUCCGGUUAACCUGCUCGUGGGCCUUUAACUUCUCGAUUCCAGAAGUGCAAAUAUGACAGGUGUCAUGCCAAAUUUGUACCGGCUGCCAAAUUUGUACCGGGCACGUCAACAGUUGUCCGUUACCAGGCAAUGGACAACUGAUUACGUAAGGGUUGUCCGUUGCCGGGCAGGUUUCAAAAAACAUUCGCGCUCAUGUUACCAAAGACGAAAUAACAUAAUACAGAUAACGGAUCGCUAGAUAACACUUGUUUUUACUUUAUAUUUGUAUUGUAUUUAAUUGUUUAAUCAAAUUUAGCUGGUAAACUGAGUGUUUAAAAAAACAUUCGCGCUCAUGUUGCCAAAGACGAAAUAACAUAAUACAGAAAACGGAUCGCUAGAUAACACUUGUUUUUACUUUAUAUUUGUAUUGUAUUUAAUUGUUUAAUCAAAUUUAGCAAGUAAACUGAGUGUUUAAAGCAGGUCAAGGACGAAAUAGCACAAUACAGAUAACGGACAAGUGCGAAUGAACGAGCUUGAAGGUUCGGCGAAUGUUCGUGAACCUUUCACGUCAUUCGACGCAACGGACGACGCGAUCAUCUGGCAGGUUUGGAAUGGAUUACGUAUGGGUGACGCGCCCGGUACAAAUUUGGCAGCCGGUACAUAUUUGGCAUGACACAUCCUCCAGUGUUGUACUGUCUAUGGCCUCGCCCGACCCACUAAGUAGAUUUGGUUUGUUCUCAUUCUUUAAACAACAAACUUGGUUUCAGGAACGACGUCCUCCGGGAAAUACCUUCCCAGAGUUAUGCCUUCAAUUGAGGUCUCCAUUUUCUAUCGAUUGUCUCCACAUCUCCAUCUGAGGCACCAUCCGAAUCCAGGCAGAAAUCUCAAGAGUUCUAAAGUAACAUGGGGCUGGGCCGGUAUUAGCUAGCAGGCAGAUGUACUCUGUCAUGGAGGCGACGUCUCCCUGAGCUUCCUGCUGAGUCCGUCCCUGGGACUCUCUUUGACAGGGAAAGAAGAAUUGAGCACGUGAUCAAAGAAGGGGAAGAGAAGAAGACUAAUAUGUUGGAUUGAAGGAGCUCUUGUGGCGUAGGAGAAGUGGUUGUGCUAAAGGUUGACCCAGGAAGCCCUGAAGGAUUAACCGUGAUUAAUAGUUAUAUAAAUUUACCGAGCACGAGGAGAUAAAAGGUCUGUUUCCUGUUUUUUUCUUGCAGGAGGAUGAAGAGGAUUAGUUGAAGGGAAUGUCUGUUGCAACCCACUGUGAAUAAUAAUUGGGUUAUUUGACAUAGUUAUUUUUACAUAACCUUAUAAUGUGUCUGUCAUAUAUUAUAUGCCCGUUUAAUCUGAUGGUCGUCUGAUACCAGGACGUUAAUGGCAUAGUCUGCCAAUUUAGUGACUUUAGUGGCCUGUUAAGUUUAUAUUGGCGCAAUACUACUUGUACUUUAUUUUCAAAAACUAAUAAUAUUAAUAUAACUAACAUUUGCCAAAUUUAAUUGUGUUUUUGUUGUUUUGGCUACUGUUACUAGCAUUUCUAAAUCCCAAGAGAGCAGUUGUUUUCCAACUUACAAAGACAAUUUCCUUGUGUGGGAAGGAACCUUGGCAAUAAAUCAGAAUCUGAUGGUUUCUGAAUUAACAUUCACAUAGCCUGUCUUUAUACGAUUGUUAUAACAGCGUAUUAAAGCAUCUUCAAUAGCAUUGUUUCUCAACAGGGGCGUUCGCACAACCAAGGGGGUGCUGGGAAUGUGAUUAUUUUUUUUUAUUUUUUGGGGAGGGGAUUUUAAGCAUUCAUGGUUUU